GACGAACGCUGGCGGCGUGCUUAACACAUGCAAGUCGAGCGGAAAGGCCACUUCGGUGGUACUCGAGCGGCGAACGGGUGAGUAACACGUGAGUAAUCUGCCCCUGGCUUUGGGAUAGCCACCGGAAACGGUGAUUAAUACCGGAUACGACCACUUCUCGCAUGGGAUGGUGGGGGAAAGUUUUUUCGGCCAGGGAUGUGCUCGCGGCCUAUCAGCUUGAUGGUGAGGUAAUGGCUCACCAUGGCUUCGACGGGUAGCCGGCCUGAGAGGGUGACCGGUCACACUGGGACAGAGACACGGCCCAGACUCCUACGGGAGGCAGCAGUGGGGAAUAUUGGACAAUGGGCGGAAGCCUGAUCCAGCAACGCCGCGUGAGGGAUGACGGCCUUCGGGUUGUAAACCUCUUUCAGCAGGGACGAAGCGCAAGUGACGGUACCUGCAGAAGAAGCACCGGCCAACUACGUGCCAGCAGCCGCAGUAA
rnacentral:rRNA from 1 species